CACGUAGGGCGCAAGCGUUGUCCGGAAUUAUUGGGCGUAAAGAGCUCGUAGGCGGUUCGUCGCGUCGGCUGUGAAAACCCGGAGCUCAACUCCGGGCCUGCAGUCGAUACGGGCGGACUCGAGUUCGGCAGGGGAGACUGGAAUUCCUGGUGUAGCGGUGAAAUGCGCAGAUAUCAGGAGGAACACCGGUGGCGAAGGCGGGUCUCUGGGCCGAUACUGACGCUGAGGAGCGAAAGCGUGGGGAGCGAACAGG
rnacentral:rRNA from 1 species